AAACUUUCAACAACGGAUCUCUUGGUUCUGGCAUCGAUGAAGAACGCAGCGAAAUGCGAUAAGUAAUGUGAAUUGCAAAAUUCAGUGAAUCAUCGAAUCUUUGAACGCACAUUGCGCCCGCCAGUAUUCUGGCGGGCAUGCCUGUCCGAGCGUCAUUU
rnacentral:rRNA from 2 species